UACGUAGGGGGCAAGCGUUGUCCGGAUUUAUUGGGCGUAAAGAGCGUGUAGGCGGCCAUACAGGUCCGUUGUGAAAACUCGAGGCUCAACCUCGAGACGUCGAUGGAAACCGUAUGGCUAGAGUCCGGAAGAGGAGAGUGGAAUUCCUGGUGUAGCGGUGAAAUGCGUAGAGAUCAGGAAGAACACCGGUGGCGAAAGCGCUCUGCUGGACCUUAACUGACACUGAGGGACGAAAGCUAGGGGAGCGAAUGGG
rnacentral:rRNA from 1 species